AGUUCCUGUUUAAAAUGUAUUAGAGCUUAGGAUGGAUUAAUUUAGAGCCCGUUUAGUGCCCGUCUUGAAAAGACACGAAAAAUCCAUCUUGGGCUGAUUUCGGGAAGAUCUUAUAGCUUCCUGGCUUUUACGCCCUCUCGGGGCUUCGUCAUACGUGCAAUUGUCCACGCGCGCACCCAAGUGAACAUUUUGCCCCAAAACCCUCGAUUCUAAUUCGUUCGCACAUCGUUUGGUGCACCCAUUCUCACUUCGCACCACAGCAGGAGCUUAUACAUCCUUCAACACUUGGUUUUCUCACGGCGAAGGUCGUCCAUCGGUUCGUGGUUUGCGUAGGUACAACUCACAUCACCAUCUGGCUUGUUAGGGUUUCUUUUUUUUUGUUUCACCUUUUGUUGUUUGACAUGGAUUAAAGUGAAUAGAUCCAUUCCAUUUUCUUGCAAUUCAAACUUCUUUUUUUUUUUUGGUUCUGUAUGGAUUAAAGUGAAUAGACCCGUUCCAAUUUUUUUGUGCUCUGUGGUUUGAUAUGGCAACCACUAUUUUUUUUUGUGUUUU